GGUAGAUUUUUAAGAUGCUUUAGACACACAGACACGCCCAGCCUGAGGCCUGUCGGUCUGGUAUAUGGAGUCAAAGUCACAACAGAGACACCAUAAACAGUGACUUCACUGUUAAAUAUACACUUACAGACGACUGCUGCUGAAGUUUAACAGCAAAGAAAAUGAAAGCCCAGAUGGUUUUCCUGCUCUUUUCUCUUGUGGUCGGGCUUAAAGCGACGUCAACUGAUUCCCCUGAGGAUGAUGAAGUUGUUCCAGAGGAAGACGCCAUACAACAAAUUCUGAAUAUUAAUUUGACUGACAUGCAAAGAGACAAUGAAAACUCCGGGGUUCCAAAAGG